rnacentral:snRNA from 1 species
AUACUUACCUGGCAGGGGAGAUACCAUGAUCCCGAAGGUGGUUUUCCCAGGGCGAGGCUUAUCCAUAGCACUCUGGAUGUGCUGACCCCUGCAAUUUCCCCAAAUGUGGGAAACUUGACUGCAUAAUUUGUGGUAGUGGGGGAACUGCAUUCCCUCUUUCCCCGG